GCCCAAAGUCGCACGUGCCUGUGGGCGUCCCCCGGCUCCUCGAAUGGCGAGGACAGUCGGGACGGUACCCGGGAAAUAACGAGCCCGGUCGAUCAAGUGGCCAACCGCAUGAUCGAGGACGCCUUGAAGCAACGACGGUGCGGGCCUUU
rnacentral:sRNA from 1 species